UACGUAGGGUGCAAGCGUUGUCCGGAAUUAUUGGGCGUAAAGAGCUCGUAGGCGGCUUGUCACGUCGACUGUGAAAACCCGGGGCUCAACUCCGGGCCUGCAGUCGAUACGGGCUGGCUUGAGUGCGGUAGGGGAGACUGGAAUUCCUGGUGUAGCGGUGAAAUGCGCAGAUAUCAGGAAGAACACCCGUGGCGAAGGCGGCUCUCUGGGACGGUACUGACGCUGAGACGCGAAAGCGUGGGGAGCGAACAGG
rnacentral:rRNA from 1 species